rnacentral:rRNA from 1 species
ACGGAGGGUGCAAGCGUUGUUCGGAAUCACUGGGCGUAAAGCGCGUGUAGGCGGCUUGACAAGUCGAAUGUGAAAGCCCGGGGCUCACCCUCGGAAGUGCAUUCGAAACUGUCAGGCUUGAGUACGGGAGAGGGAAGUGGAAUUCCUGGUGUAGAGGUGAAAAGCGAAGAUAGCAGGAGGAACACAGGUGGCGAAGGCGGAAAACAGGAAAGAAACAGAAGCUGAGAAGAGAAAGAGAGGGGAGAAAAAAG